GCUUUCACACACACACACACACACACACACACACACACACACACACACACACACACACACACAUCCUACUUCCCUAACUCAAACCCUGUCCUAACCACAACGAGCUGUUUCCUGCCACUCAAGCAAAUUCUGCUCAUUGUAGGACGUGCCUGCCUAUGUACUUACGACACUCUUUCUGUGGAAACUCCUCUGCCUCAUCUCUUCCCCCCCGGAAGCUGUGUUUAUUGGUUCCCCAGUGUUGUUUACUCCCAUCUUUGUCUGUCUAUCGCAUACACUGCUGUGGCGUUCGUGAACAUUAGGCAGAAAUUUGUCUGAUAAAAUCAUCUAUUUUUAACAUGAAAAUUUGUUUAAGGGGCCACUAUGUGACGGGAUGAAGACGAGGAUGUAGUCCCCACCUUCUUGGAUGUCUGCGACCAUGGGUGUUCUCGGACACUGCUACAGAAUGCGUGACGAGGUGGCUGCGUGCAUAGACGGUAUCUAGGCCAGGCUGAGAUGGCGUGCGGUACCAGGAAGACUUCCUAGAGGAGCUGCCUGAGGAUCUGGAUGUAGGACUCUCGGCUAGUUCUCCAGCAUCAUGUCUGCCUGUAUGCCGCCAUGCUUCCUGCCACGAUGCUGUACACCUCAACUUUUAAACUAAGCCAUGUCCUGCAUUGAAUCCGAUGCUGUCUAUUAUCAUCUUUUGAUAAUAUGUGUGAACUAAGAAGAGCAGAGAAGUUAACUAGCUUAUUGAAAGCAACCUGCCUGGCAGCCUGUUAAACAGAAGACAUCGAUCCAUCUCUUCAGAGGAUGGAGUGGAAUUUGGCCAAGAUCCUGCAGCUGGAGAGCUCACAGACUUAGAGGUGAACCUACUACCAUUGUUUUGUUAACUGGACAUAGUGUCAGACUGCCGUGUAAGUACUUAUCACUAAACUAAUAGGUAAGUGCAACUCUCAGUCCUCUCUAGAGAAGCUUCUUUUUCUAAUACAGAGUCACACCUGGUCAAAGUGCAAAGAAGUGAUGUCUGUGGAGUGCUCAGCCAUAGUAGAUGUGACAUCUAUAUCAUGUUACCUCCACACAGGCUCAGGGAACACUGAGGAGGAGGAGGUGGUGGUGGAAGGAUUGUUAAGAGGUAGAGGUCUGGGAUGACUGGACUCUUCUGGACAUGACCACUGCACUCAUGAAUUCACAGCAGCCAUGGUUGCCUGUUAAAGAUCUGUACAAGAGCAAGCAGUCAACAUUCCAGUGUGAAUGGAGCCUAGAAGCCCCACCCCUAGCUGAAGAACUAUUGGCCUUUGAUGGCUGCUAGGGUGAGUCGGUUUUCUUUAGAGAUGGGUCCCUGACCACGCUCUAGUGGAUGGUUUUACAGGCAUGCAUGUGUGGGAAACAUUAACUGGCCUCAGUGGGUUAAGAAACAACGAAAAAGAGGCCAUGGAGUUGAGAGGGCGCAUAG